rnacentral:rRNA from 1 species
AUUGAACGCUGGCGGCAGGCCUAACACAUGCAAGUCGAACGGCAGAACAGUGCUUGCUUGUGGUUCCAGCGGGGGAGGGGCGAGCGUAACCUGGGAAUAUCCCUGUCUGCUGUUUGGGACGUCUUCACGUAGGUGCACCUACCACAGUACAGCAGAGGCCGCACGGGGGAGAGCGUCGGACCUUCUGCCCUGACGGGAUUGUAGGUCGGGGUAGCUAGUUGGUUGGUUAAAGGGCUACCAAGCCGACGAUCCGUAGGUGGUCUGAGAGGAUGAGCGGCCACACUGGAACUGAGACACGGUCCAGACUCCUACGGGAGGCAGCAGUGGGGAAUAUUGGACAAUGGGCGAAAGCCUGAUCCAGCCAUCCCGCGUGUGUGAAGAAGGCCUUCGGUUUGUAAAGCCCUUUUGGUGGGAAUGAAACGCAGUAGGUUAAUACCAUGCUGUUGUGACGGUACCAACAGAAUAAGCACCGGCUAACUUCGUG